CAGCAGCCGCGGUAAUACCGGCGGCCCGAGUGGCGGUCACUAUUAUUGGGCUUAAAGCGUCCGUAGCCGGGUUGGGAAGUCCUCCGGGAAAUCUGGCCGCUUAACGGUCAGAAUGCCGGAGGAUACUCCCAGCCUAGGGAGCGGGAGAGGCCGAGGGGAUUCCCGGAGUAGGGGGGAAAUCCUAUAAACCCGGGAGGACCACCUGUGGCGAAGGCGCUCGGCUGGAACGCGUCCGACGGUGAGGGACGAAGGCCAGGGGAGCAAACCGGAUUAGAUACCCGGGUAGUCCUGGCUGUAAACGAUGCGGACUUUGUGUCGGACAAGCUAUGAGCUUGUCCGGUGCCGGAGGGAAACCGUUAAGUCCGCCGCCUGGGGAGUACGGCCGCAAGGCUGAAACUUAAGGGAAUUGGCGGG
rnacentral:rRNA from 1 species